GACGAACGCUGGCGGCGUGCUUAACACAUGCAAGUCGAACGGAAAGGCCCGGCUUGCAGGGUACUCGAGUGGCGAACGGGUGAGUAACACGUGGGUGAUCUGCCCUGCACUUCGGGAUAAGCCUGGGAAACGGGGGCGAAUACCGGAGAGGAGACAUUUUUAGUGAGAUGGGUGGAAAGUUUUUUCGGGGUCGGCUGAGCGCGCGGCCUAUCCGCGUGGUGGUGGGGUAAUGGCCUACCAAGGCGGCGCCGGGUAGCCGGCCCGAGUGUGUGGACGGCCACAUUGGCACUGAGACACGGCCCCGGCUCCGACUGGAGGCAGCGGUGGGGGAGGUUGAUCAAUGGGCGCGAGCCUGAUGCAGCGACGGCGCGUGCGGGUGGACGGUCUUCGCGUUGGGGUCGCCAUUCGCUAGCGGCGGAGCUUUUUGUGACGGUACCUGGAGAAGAAGCCCCGGCUAACUACGUG
rnacentral:rRNA from 1 species